rnacentral:misc_RNA from 1 species
GAAACUGAUAUGGUCAAGAAAAUAUUACAAAACAAUCUGACUAAUAAUUGUCUGCAAUUUCCUGGAAAAUUUUGCAGAGCUCUUCUGGCUUUGACAGCAUGACCAUAUGAUCAGCUCCAUCAAUAAGCUUCACUUGCUCAGUUGGGCUGUUCUCGAUCAUCCAUUGCACGAUUUCCUCUUUCAUAACUGCAUCUUCUUUGCAAACUACAAAAACCCGCUUUAUCGAUCCAUAUUUAGCUUCAGUUAGCAGAGAUUCCUUGGCCAAGUCUUCCAGGAAAAACUUGAAGGGCCUGAGUAGCAAUUUGGCUAAUUCCAAGUCCUGCAAGGAGAAGUGGUGUCUUGUUCAUGCAUUGUAGAAAAUCACUCGCUAUCAGAUUGGUCAUAGCUCAGUGAUCGAACAUAUUUAUGAAAGCCACAUUUGCUAGAACAAAUACUUGCCUCUGGUUGGCUGUUGUGAUACAUCAUGGCCUCCAAAUACUGUGGCCCAAAAGCAGCUGAUAUUGGCAGGUUUUCUGGUCCUUGAUGGAAAGUUAUCUGGCAAUCUAAAAGGGAUUCUGGUGGGGUUCUCUUGAAGAAUUCUUGUACUAGAGUUACUGGUGGAUGAAUGAAAUUUGGCAUAUAAGCUGUGACAAAAACUGCUACCAAGAUUUUCUCAGGAAAGUUCUCCAUGGCUAGAGACAAGCCAAGACCACCAUAGCUGUGACCCACUAAGAUUACCCUCUCAUCUAGAGGAAGAGAGGCUAUGAAUUCCAUUAAUGGAUACACAUAAUCAGAAAAAGAUUUGAGCUCAUUUAGCUGCUUUGGAUUGAUCCCAGAAGCUCCAAGAUCUAAAGCAGUGACCUGGUGACCAGCCCAUUUGAGAAGAGGCACAAUUUUGUACCAGCACCAAGCACCAUGGCCAGAUCCGUGAACCAGAACAAAGUGCUUCUUAGUCUCUAUUCCUCUAUCUAUGCUUUUUCUGAAAUCUUCAGAACUCAUUUUGACUAUAUGAAAUGAUUCAAUACAGCCAUAC